rnacentral:rRNA from 1 species
GGAAAUCUCACCAGGCCCGGACACUGGAAGGAUUGACAGAUUGAGAGCUCUUUCUCGAUUCGGUGGGUGGUGGUGCAUGGCCGUUCUUAGUUGGUGGAGUGAUUUGUCUGGUUAAUUCCGAUAACGAACGAGACUCUGUCCUGCUAAAUAGUUGGAUUGUCCUUCGUGCAAUCCAAAUUCUUCUUAGAGGGACUGGCUGCGUCUAGCAGCACGAGAUUGAGCAAUAA